GACGAACGCUGGCGGCGUGCUUAACACAUGCAAGUCGAACGGAAAGGCCCUGCUUUUGUGGGGUGCUCGAGUGGCGAACGGGUGAGUAACACGUGAGUAACCUGCCCUUGACUUUGGGAUAACUUCAGGAAACUGGGGCUAAUACCGGAUAGGAGCUCCUGCUGCAUGGUGGGGGUUGGAAAGUUUCGGCGGUUGGGGAUGGACUCGCGGCCUAUCAGCUUGUUGGUGGGGUAGUGGCUUACCAAGGCUUUGACGGGUAGCCGGCCUGAGAGGGUGACCGGUCGCAGUGGUAGGGCGCACCGGCGCGGCUGCGGAGGGGGGGCAAGGGGGGUGCGUCUAGCACGCUGUGGAGCGGCGGGGGCGAGCGCGGCCGCGUGCGGUAUGAGUGCCUUCGGGUGACCGCCCGCUCUCGUGGGGGAGGGGGGGGGAGGGAGGAUAGGAGGAGAAGACGCCCCGGCAAACUGCGUGCCCGCAGCCGCGGUAAAUAUCGAAAGAACACCGUCGGACC
rnacentral:rRNA from 1 species